UGCAAUUGAAUGUGUGUGUGUGUGUGUGUGUGUAUGAAAAUAAAUGUACAGCUUCCACUCAGUCAUUGGCCAGUCGUGAACAACAUCAGGACUACGCUGAAUUUCAACAUGAAGGUUUAUCUGCUCCUGCUUCUGCUCGUACCGCUAAUAUCAGUACAAGGAUUUAGCAUCGAGUGUCAUGGCUUUGAUGACUACAUGACCAACCUCAAGCUAACAUGUCAAAGCAGCGACGUGCAACAGGCCUGCUACACCAGAGACAAUGGAGAAAAGGGAUGCGUUGCCAUCGACAAGUGUUCUCGACCCGGUUGGACCUGUUGCUAUAGCAACUUGUGCAAUAACUGAACAAGUGUGCAGAAAUGCACUCAAUAAAGAAAUGUCAAUGUGA